GCGCUUGUAGCUCAGUUGGAUAGAGCGCUAGAUUCCGGUUCUAGAGGCCGGGGGUUCGAAUCCUCCCAAGCGCG
rnacentral:tRNA from 1 species